UCCGGUUUGGCACCGGCAGUCUCCAAUGAGUCCCCGGCAUUACCCGCUGGCAACAUUGGACAGGGGUUGCGCUCGUUGCGCCACUUAAGGCAACACCUCACGGCACGAGCUGACGACAGCCAUGCAGCACCUGUGCAGGCUCCCGAAGGAGCACCGGCUUUCACCGGUUUCACCCUGCAUGUCAAGCCCUGGUAAGGUGGGGAUGACGUAGACGUCAUAACC
rnacentral:misc_RNA from 1 species